GAGGAAAAAGAGCCUUGCGCAGGCCACCUCCAAACAGGGAGGCUCUUGUGGGGAUGAGAUGGCGCAGGAGCAUGAGCUCGGGCAGGGACAGCCUGGGGCUGGAUUCUUGUGGCGCUUGUCCUCUGCUCCGACCACUUGCCCCUGAGGGAAGGGCUCUGACCAUGCCCAGAAUCACGUUUUAAGGCAUGAUGGGAGGAGAUGCCCGCUCUGUCCCUGUAGGGAAGGGAUGAAUGGGUCGGUUUGGGCUGAGAGUUCGGGUUCUCGGUCUAAUAGCUGUGCAGUUCUCCGUGGCCACCGCGAGAGAGGAAUCGGCUGGGAUGUUUGCGUGGAGCGAUGUGUGGGUGACUGUGACUUGCCCUCCAACCGUGGACACUGAGAGAGAAAACAGGCACCCAGGGAGCAGAGUCCAGCCAGGACUACGUAUGUUGUCUGCCUCGUGACAAAAGACUUUCAGGUGUGGCUUGACCCAGGGGCUUAGACGAUGUCAUGAGGAUCCUGUUUCUUUCUUUCUCUGGGUUUAAGGAACAUUGCUGUAUCUGUAACAUGGGCAUUUGGCUCUCAGAGGUCUUGGAGUAUGCACACCCUGGGAUGUUUGUAAGAGGUCCCGUGCGCACACAUGUGUUUCCGGCAUGCUUAUUCAUGCUAUCUUUUUUUAUGUAGAAACAGAGCCCCUGAUUCAUGAGGGUGCAGACCCUCUCAUUCAUACCCAUUUUCCAAACCUCCAGGAAGCUGGCUCCACGCCCAGGAUGCAGAGUGGAAUGUUGUGAUCACCUGGUGUAGUUGGCACAGACACCAGCCCGGCCACUCGCAGGCCUAGGUGUGGGGUGACGUGGGUGUGCCAGGCCUAGAUCCCUGAGAACGAUCAGGGCUUCCUCCCCGUGCUGGGGGGAGGGAGGGAUGCAUGAGGCAGGGGUGGAUAUAGAGAUGGAGCUGCUGCUGCUGUUGCUGCUGCUGGGGUGUGGACAUGACUCCAAGCUGCAGAUUAGGAAUGAGAUAGGGUCCUGGGAACAUCCCUGGAGCCCCUGGUCCAAGCUACACCUGAGAUCUGCCCUUGGGCCGUUCAAAUGCAGAAGCUCACACGACCCCUUCCUCAGGUCAAGUUCUCUGCCACCUGCAAUUGACGACAUUCUAGCUGCAUAUCAGGGUCCAGGGCGUUUUGUUCUGAGGGGAUUGUUGAUUGGGUAGAGUUGUUGGCUGGCUAAAUCGGAACUCUAGUGGACUCCACUGUCUGCAAGGUCCAGCUUCAGAAGGAGUGGGGCUCACUCGUGGUCCCCGGCUUCUGGGCUGGGUUCGGCCACUUUAUCUUGUGUAAUUAUUUUUUAUAUUGAGGCGCUCUGUGAAUGCUACACAAACCUGUACCCCGAGCCACACCCCUGCCAUGGCCACUUUAAUAUUAUUCUUCACGGUCCCCAAAGGCUCCGGAGUCCAGUCACCCCCUUGGAAGUGGAGCGGACAACUUCUAGACGUAGGGACUAACUGACAAAGACAAAUGGUAUCAGGUCGCAGCUGAGCCGGCCCCGGUUCACUCCCUUUUAUGGUAACGGCCAGCGUGUGGCCGCCCUGUCUCUAAGUGCCACCCAUGUCACCGAGCCCCUGCGAGAACCUGGCCCUUGCCAAGUCGGUGGCAGAUGGUUCUGUGGAAACCGGGGCAGGGGUGGGCCUUUGUCCAGGCUGCUCACCGCGGCGGCGGCAGCGGCAGGGCCCGGUGCUAUCAUGGCAAGUCACUUCUCCACUGGCCAGCUGGCUCCAGGCCCUGCGAGCCGUGGGGCCUCCGUGCUUUGAAGUAAUUAAUUAUGCAGCAUGGCAAGGAGACAGCAAGAUUUAGAGCAGAGGCAGCGACAGAUGGCCCCGGGAGGAAACCAGAUCUUCCGGGAGACAGGAUGGUUGUGGAGAGAGGCGGGCCUGUGUGCCUGUGUGUGUGCCCAUGUAUGUGCUGUGUGCCUGUGCGUACACUGUGUGCACAUGUGUGCAUGUGUGUGUAUGCCUGUGUGUGCAUCUGGGUGAAUGAGCGUGCCUGUGUUUACAUGUGUGCUUGCAUAUGCAUGUGCAUUCGUGUGCAUGUGUAUGUGUGUGCAUGUAUAUAUGCCUGUGUGUGCACCUAUGUGUGCAUGUAUAUGCCUGUGUAUGUGUAUAGCCUGUGUGUACCUGUGUGUGGGGGAGGAUGUGUGCUUGUGUGUGUGAGGAAGGCUGUGUGUACAAGUGUGUGCCUGUGGAGGGUGUUGUGUGUCUCUGUGUGUGUGUGUAUGAGGGGUUCUAUGUGCCGGGGGUGGGGUGGGGCUGUAUGCCUGUGUGCCCUGUGUGUGCAUGUGUGUGCCUGUGUGUGUGUGUGGGUGCUGUGCCUGUGUUGACGGGGGAGGCUGUGUGCUUGUGUGUGAACAGCUGUGUGCUCUUCUCCUUCCCCCGCAGCUCCUUCUUCCCCUGGGGAAUUCUGAAUGUCCCACUUCUCAGUGGCUUCCAGGGUGUCUGUGCUGGAGGAGAAGGUGUCAGUGGGGAGAAACAGGGAAGUGAUAAAACCAUAGACAGGGUGGGCUUGGCUCCACGCCUGUGUGAGCUCUGAGCGGCUGCGCAUUGGGCUGGAGUUUCUGGAUCAGAGGAGCGAUCCUGCCCGGGUGCCACCAUUGCCCUGAGGUACCACCAACACCUCAGCACCGUCCUCACCAGGCCCCUCAGUCCCUGGAACCUUCACCAUCAAAGUCUGCCUCUACUUCAUCAAGACCUAGAACACUCACCUGGGGGCCACCAGCCUGCACCUAACAGUCCCCUGGGGGCCACCAGCCUGCACCUAACAGUCCCCUGGGGGCCACCAGCCUGCACCUAACAGUCCCCUGGGGGCCACCAGCCUGCACCUAACUGUCCCCUGGGGGCCACCAGCCUGCACCUAACUGUCCCCUGGGGGGCCAUCAGCCUCCACCUAACUGUCCCCUGGGGGCCACCAGCCUGCACCUAACUGUCCCCUGGGGGGCCAUCAGCCUCCACCUAACUGUCCCCUGGGGGCCACCAGCCUGCACCUAACUGUCCCCUGGGGGGCCAUCAGCCUCCACCUAACUGUCCCCUGGGGGCCACCAGCCUGCACCUAACUGUCCCCUGGGGGCCACCAGCCUCCACCUAGCAUCUUCCAGACUUUCCUUAGCCCUCAGAAACAGGUGAACAUGUCUGUGGGACACCUGAGACCCCUUACAAUCCUGGCCUUAGGUCCAUCUCCCCAUCCCUCCCUGGUGCCCUCUGGUGUCAGCUCUGCAGUUUCUGACCCUGUGCCCUUGGGAAGGCUGUUCCCUCUGUUUGGCUUGCCCCUUCCUUCCCUUGGUUUGCCCAGGAAGCCCUGGCCAGGCUCACGGUUUCCUCCACAGCCCUCUCUGGUGCCUGCCUCAAGCGUGUGGCCUGUUUUUUUUUUUUUUUUUUUCUCGAGACAGGGUUUCUCUGUGUAGCUUUGCGCCUUUUCCUGGAACUCACUUGGUAGCCCAGGCUGGCCUCGAACUCACAGAGAUCCACCUGGCUCUGCCUCCCGAGUGCUGGGAUUAAAGGCGUGCGCCACCACCGCCCGGCGUGGCCUGGUUUUUAACUGGCCUGAGUUGGAGAUGCCAUCAAAGUCCUGGGUACCAGCCUAGCUGAGCCUCCCCUCCACAAAGGGGCUGCAAAGCACCAGCCAACAGCAGGUGGAGCCUCUGGUCCCAGGCUGUGUUCUGAGACUCAGUGGACCCAAACAACAAAGGUGGAAGUGAUUGUGGACCUAGCUGACUUCCGGAACUCCGCCUUAGCACCCUGCCCGGCUGCCAUGGGAACACAGGAGUCCCCCAUACACAAGGGGUGUGUUCAGAUUCCCUCUAUGGAGGCCUGAAAGUGGCGAUACUGGCCUUGUGUGCACAGCGAUGGUUAGUCAUCAUAGUAACCGGGCUGGAUUUGGAGUCACCUAGGAGACACUGUGGAUGCCUGUGGGUGGGUUCCCGGGACGGGAGAUCUGCCCUUACUGUGGGCUGCACCAUCCCUGGGCGUGGGUCCUGGGCCGGGUCAACAGGAAAAUCAAACAGAGCGAACAUCAGCAUCAUCUCCCUCUGCUUUCCUGGCUGUGAUGCCACGUGGGCAGCCGCCUCGUGCCCUCCCUCCCACGUCACUCUGUGCCUCGGAAGUGCAAGCCACAGCCACAACAAGCCACCUUCCUUCAGCUUCCUUUGACAAAGUGUUUUGUGUCAGCAAUGAAACAAGUGGGGAGGGGCCUAGACGCUCGCCGGGACCGUGGGUCGGUCUCACAGCGUAGGGCUCUGAGCGCCAGGUUUUUGCUUUUUUGUUGUGUUUCUGGAACUUUGUUUUCCAGGGAGCUCUUCCGACGGACGUGAAGAUGCUGUCUUCCUGGAGGGCCACAAGGCUUUUGUGCGGUAACUGCUCUGUGUGGAGCCCGAGAAGGCGGCCAGGGUUUGAUGAGUCGAACAUGUUUUAUCCUUUUACUCUAGAGUUGAACCGGAUGCAGAGCUGGCUAAUUUUAUGUCAACUCCACACCAGUUGGAGUCAUCAAAGAGGAGGGAACCGCAACUGAGAAAAUGCCUCCAUGAGAUCCAGCUCUCCUGCCUCCAGGAUCCUGCCCUGUGUGAGUUCCUGUCCUGACUGCUUCUGAUGAUGAACUGUGAGUGAAAUAAACCUUUUCCUCUCCGAGUUGCUUCUGGCCAUGUUUUCAUCACAGCUAUAGUGACCCCGACGGGGACAGAUGUACUUUGGAGAAGGCUGCACUUCUAUAAGCGUCCUUCGGGAAUGUGGGCUCAUCUGUAUCAUUCUUGGAAGAGGUCGGGCCACCCUGACUCAGCAGGGAGUCAUCGAGUCAUCUACAACUGGUGGGACCCUCCUUAAUGCAGCCAACACUGGACCCCUAAAUCACCGGGCAUUUCAAAAAUGUCACAUACUUUUUACCGUGGGUGUGUUUUGCCUGGCUGGCUGGCUGUGUACUGCACGUGUGUGCAGCACCCUCAGGGGCCAGAAGAGGGUGUCAGAUCCUCUGGAACUGGAGUUAUAGGUGGUUGUAAGUUGUCCUGUGGGUGCUGGGAAUUGAACCCUGUUCCUCUGGAAGAGCUGUCAGUGCUCUUAACUGCUGAGACAUCUCUCCAGCUCCCACAUUCUCUCUGUGGAUCUGACGACAGUCUUUUAUCUCCUGCUUCACAGGCUCCACGCUCCAAGCAUCUCUUUCAUGAGCAAAACAUGUCAGAUUCCUCAACUACACCUCACAGCCUGUCUCCAGCUCCUCCUACCUCUGACCUGGACACACCCCUUGGCAGCGGGAAGACAAAGCUAAGUCCAGCACCCAGGUCUGACAGUGUUAAUUCUUUCACCUGGACACCCUCCCUGUCAGUAUGGUUUGAACAAGAAUUGGGGUGUUCUCUUCUGAUUCACAUUUAGUUUUCUUACAACAGGAAUCCGUUCCUUUUAUCUCUGUGUGCUUUUUUUUUUUUUUAAAAUUCUGUAGAUGUAAAUCCAUCUACACUGUGUGCCAUUUAAAAGGCCUAAACACAAGAUUAUACUUAUCCCUUGUAAAUGUCACCGCCUUGGAUUUGCCUCCUGACUUCUUCUGUGUUCCUGUUCUGCUGUCUUUCAUAUGUUCAGCUCCUAAAUGGACUCUGCCUACACCACACAGUGUAGCAUGCGACCUUUGGCGUGGUAGUGUGUGUUCAUGCACAUGGGGUAACUCCCCCACUAACCAGAAUUUUCUCUUGUAAAUCCCCCUCUUCAGUCCUCAGGAAAUGUUACUAGACUUGACUCUACCUCCCUUCCAUGAUGAGCACGUGACCAAGGUCUGGCCAAUGGGAUAUGGUACCCACUUCCCAUCCCUAAUCGGAGAGAUACCUAUAGACAUCCCUGGGACUUGUCCCCUGGGGGAAUCUGGGAGUCUCCAGGAGAGAAGCACUGCUGUUCUGUCCAAGUGUGCUGCAGAGAGGGUGGAAGUGUGGCCCCACUCCUGGUGGGGUCACACCCAGGAGUCCUGGGGUGGGCAGGGGUAUCCCAAGGGAGGUAGAAGUCCCUUAGCCAGUCUGUGGAGGCUCUUAGGUGAUUGUGCCCCCCCCCCAGCACUGUGUAAGUGGGGUAUGGUGGUGCUGAGAUCUCACUGUUGGAGAAAAAUGCAGUUGGUUUCAAUGCAUUUGUACAAUAAACUCAAGAGUCACCAAUAAUGUUAAGGGAAGACAUCAAAGCACUUCCUCCUGGGGUCAUUUGACCGAGAUUGAGCUCAGAUUGUGGAAUUAUCUACCUCCCUCUCCCUGGGUUUUCCUUCUGUCCCCUGCCUGCCCUGUGAAUCUGUCCCUGUCCCUGUGUGUCUGCAAAUCUGUCUGUGUGUCUGUCCCUCAGGCUGUCUUGUGAAUCUGUCUCUGGGUCUGUGUCUGUGUGUAUGCAAAUCUGUGUGUCUGUCCCUCACGAAGGGAUUCGCUCUGUCUUUAUCGAACAGCAAAGCAAGCAUCACAUGGUGAAGGAAUGGGAUGCUUUACAGAAAUCUUCAGCAGAGUUUUACAAGGGAUUAAGUCACUGGGUCCAACAGAUCCCAACUGACCCAGAUAGCAAAUAUCACUGUUUAUCAACUGAUAAUCCAAGUGUUGUGUUUAACGUUUAUGGCGGAUAUUCAUUUUAGGAGGUUUCUUUCAGCCUCUAUUUUUGCCGCUUUCAGCAAAUUGCUUCUUAGAACUUGGAUGCAUUACUCUGGGUCAGGGCCACGGAAAGAGCGCAUAAUUUAAGAUUACAGCUUCCCAUUAGCUCAGGCUGUAAAAGUUGAUUACAUGGGAAAUCCAAGGCAAGUAAGGUUGGCUGUUCCAGUGUUCUCAUAAAGGCAGAUUAAAAAGACAGGCUGCAGACACAGUAGGGCAGUGGUCUUAAGUCUUACAUGACCUCCGGGUGUCACACUAACUCGGCUGUGAGGCCCAGCAAAAGUUCCAGCCUCUUAGCAUGUAAGAGAUAUAGAUUUUUUUUUAUUAUAAUGAAGCUGCCACAGAAAAACUGGAGAGGUUGAGACAGAGGGGUCAGAAGGUCAAGGUCAUCGGGCUACGUGGUGACUCUAAGACACCGGAGAAGAA